rnacentral:lncRNA from 1 species
AACCCGGGCCGCACGCAUGCCAGGUGAGCGCGCUACCGCUUGAGCCACAUCCCCAGCCCUGUAUAUAUUGUUUUUGAUUCAUUGGAGAAUAUGUAAGUGUCAUGUCCUGUUAUCCUUAAAUACUUCAGGAUGUAUUUACUAAAACAAAGGACACCCAUUUAUCACCACAGUGUAGCUGUAGAAGAGGGAAAUCAACACUGACCCUGUACUGUCAGGGUCUCAGUACAGUCUUUCCUGGUGCCCCAGUGAUGUCCUUUAUGAUCACCCUCUCCUCUGUUUUCCGGGAUCUAAUCCAGCAUCACAUGUCACAUCUAUUUGCUUCCUAUCAGAAGCAGUGUCUUGGUUUUUCCUUUUCUUUCAGGCCUCUCUUGUUUUUGGAGUAUAGGCCGAUGUGGGGAAGUAUCCCUAAUUUGGGUUUGUCUUAUGUUUCCUCAUGAUUAAAUUUAGGUUGUACAUUUUGACAAGAACACCACAGAGGUGAUUCUAUGUCCUAAGCGUAUCAUAUUGGGGGCUGAAUGAUGUCCACUUGUUCUGUAACUGAUGAUGCUUAUUUUUUAUUCUUUUUAAUACAUGACAGUAGAGUAUAUAUUGACAUAUUAUACAUCCAGGGGGUACAACUUACUCUAAUUAGGGUCCCAUUCUUGUGGUUGUACCUGAUAUGGAGUUUCACUGGUGGUUGAUAAUGUUUAUUUAUACAAACAGUACAGGAGGACACCAGCCCAGGUGGACAGUAGCCCAAGGGACACCAUACACCUUUACUCUGGAUCCUUACUGGGGGCCUGGGUCCUUUUGGAAGUCUGAAGAGGAGCUGCAGCUGCAACCUGGGACUGAGUCUUGGUUUGAGCCUUUGCUUUGACCUUUGCCUGGCAGAUCCUGAGACUUUAGCAACGUGGGCACAAACACACUUCCCAAGCUUGGGUAGGAGAGUUGAUGGUGCUUGCAGCUGGCACCCUUGUCCCCAUUGGGCUAAGGGCCCCAUAGCCUCGGCACAUGCUCUCAUAGCCUUGGUCUUGCUUGCCUGCCUCUGCUUUCGGCCCUUCUUGUAUUUCUUGGCUAAAUGCAUGUUCCUCGGGAACUUGGGCUCUACCCUCUUCAGAAACUCUUAACUUUGUAAUUGGGUUUUUGACACCAUUUCUGUACCAUUUUCAGGACUGGUUAUAUUUGGUUGGUUUUUGGACUUGGCCACCAUAACCCACAGCUCCUGAAGUACCUGGGAGGGUAUCCCAUAUGCUUUAGCAGCCACUCCCUAUCCUCCAGCCCUGACAACCAUUAACCAAUUUUUUGUUUCUGUGGAUUUGCCUAUUCUGGAUAUUUUGUGAAAAUGGAAUCAUGUAAUGUGUGAACUCUCAAGUCUGGCUUCUUUCUCUUGGCAAAGUUCAUCCAUAUUUUAGUACAUAUCAGUACUUCGCUUUUUUUGCCAAAUAAUAUUUCAUUUGUUAUGGUUAAUUUUAUGAGUAAACAGAGAUGCUAUUUUACACCUACUAUAAUGAGAAGCAUUUAAAAACUUGACAUCAAGAGUUGGUGAGGAGGGGCUGGGGUUGUGGCUCAGCGGUAAGCAUUCGCCUAGUACUUGCGAGGCCCUGGGUUCGAUCCUCAGCACCACAUAAAAAAAAAAUCAAUAAAUAAAAUAAAGGUAUAAAAAAUUAAGAAUCCUUUAAAAAAAGAGUUGGGGGGAGGUGGAAAAGAAGGAAUUCUCAUACACUGCAAUUGUCAGUGUAAAUUAGAAUAACCACAUCAGACUUGGGCCCAUGCCUAUAAUCCCAGCUACUAGGAGAUUAUGGCUGGAGCAUUGCAAAUGUGAGGUCAGCCUUAGCAAUUUAGCCAGGCUCUGUCUCAAAAUAAAAAAUAAAAAUGGCUGGGGCUGUAGUUCAGUGGUAGAGCACUUGCCUACACACCUGGGUUUGAUUCCUGGGCUUGAUCCUUACCAAGUAUCCAUUUGGAAAAAAAAAAUAAAAUGGUAGGGUUUAUUCCCUACCAACAAGCAGAGGAACAAAAAGAAAAACCACAUCAGAAAACUGGCA